GGCUCACCAAGACAAUGAUGCAUAGCCGAGUUGAGAGACUGAUCGGCCACAAUGGGACUGAGACACGGCCCAUACUCCUACGGGAGGCAGCAGUAGGGAAUCUUCCACAAUGGGCGAAAGCCUGAUGGAGCAACGCCGCGUGUGUGAUGAAGGGUUUCGGCUCGUAAAACACUGUUGUAAGAGAAGAAUGACAUUGAGAGUAACUGUUCAAUGUGUGACGGUAUCUUACCAGAAAGGAACGGCUAAAUACGUGCCAGCAGCCGCGGUAAUACGUAUGUUCCAAGCGUUAUCCGGAUUUAUUGGGCGUAAAGCGAGCGCAGACGGUUAUUUAAGUCUGAAGUGAAAGCCCUCAGCUCAACUGAGGAAUUGCUUUGGAAACUGGAUGACUUGAGUGCAGUAGAGGAAAGUGGAACUCCAUGUGUAG
rnacentral:rRNA from 1 species